AGAUGAUUCAUCCAAUCACAAGCAUUUUUAUGAAAGCGCCUGCCCUUUCCCAAACGAUUUCUCAUCAGGUUAGCAGAGGCUCCCUGCUGCAUAAAACCAGCGCCUCCACCACCACAAGAGUAGCUGACACCCAUCCAGGCUGCUAACGGCUGCGCCCCUCUCAUGUCAAGAUGGAGGUGAAAAUGAACUGGAGCAGGGGGAAUGGGAGCUUUGAUCCCAAUAUGUCUAAUGAAAUGCUUGGUGGGAAGAGAGAGAGAGACCAUGCUCUAUACUAACCAUCAAGGGAGAGGAAGAGGAGAGGGUCGCCAGCUUCCAAGUUUCUGUGGACUCACAUCAGUGGACGACCUCGAAUGGACAAUCAACUCCUCCUGCCCUGGUUUAAAGGGCUCUACUUCUUACGGACACUGGCAAAGAACACACUGUCUGCAGAACUGCUAAGAGCCUUUCAUCACUGCUCCGUUGAAAGUGUUUCACCAUACUGUCUGACUACUGUAGAAAUAUUUCUAUAAUCUAGAUGUGUUAUUCUCAGUAUUAUAGUUGUAUUCCCUGUAUAAUGUAUAGACUCGGGACACACAGAUAGUUAGCUUAAGCUUUGGUUACCUUAUAGUUCAGAAAUGUGAGUCUAUGUUUUUCUGUACCAGACGGAGAGGUGGAACGGGAGGGGGGUAGCCUCUGAGUCGGUGUGUGUGUGUGUGUGUGUGUGUGAGAGCUGGAGAAUCUGCAUGGAGAAGAGAAGAGAAGAGAGACAGAGAGAGAGAGAGAGAGAAGGGGGACGCUGAUGUUAAAAGAUUAGGAAUUUGGUUAGACGGUGUUCAUAAUCUGACAUGGACUUUGCUGACUUGAACUCCGUAUACUUUUGUCUGCGGUUAGGGAAACUUAGUCUCAUUUUUGUGAAGCCACAAUUGUGUUUUGUAAACUUAAAUGCUGGACUUCAGUAAACUUUCUUGACUUUAA